rnacentral:rRNA from 1 species
GACAGAGGGUGCAAACGUUGUUCGGAAUUACUGGGCGUAAAGCGCGUGUAGGCGGUUCGGUAAGUCGGAUGUGAAAGCCCGGGGCUCAACCUCGGAAGUGCAUUCGAUACUACCGUACUAGAGUACUGGAGAGGAUGGUGGAACUCUCGGUGUAGAGGUGAAAUUCGUAGAUAUCGAGAAGAACACCGGUGGCGAAGGCGGCCAUCUGGACAGAUACUGACGCUGAGACGCGAAAGCGUGGGGAGCAAACAGGAUUAGAAACCCUUGUAGUCC